GCCUUUACUAUUACAGCAAUGUGGUUCUGAAAAAUGAGUUUGAAAUUGAUCACCUCUUCAAAUUUGGAAGAUUUUUCAGAAAGAAUGACUGUCAACAGGAGCUCAGCCCAGGACAAGUGCUGGCAAAGCUGUGACAAAAAAGAAACUCUCCAGCAUUGUUAGUGGGAAGUUUUGGAGAUUUUGAUCUACAAGCACUUGGCCCAUAGUUUGAAGCCUGUGACAGCGCUGUCCACAGGGUAGGAGAUCAUGGCGGAGGAGGCCCUGUCAGUCCACCAGCGGGGUGAGAAAGAGAAAAAGAGACCAGGGUCCUGCGACUGUUUCCUUGGCCACUUCUCCUGUCGGUGGCACCAACGACCAGUAGCGUCCUGCAUCUUUGAAAGGCAUUUAUGAUCCAAACGAUAGCAGCAGUUGAAAGCAUGAAAUACUUAGGAAUCCACCUAACAACAUACAUGUAGAAUCUGUGCUUCGGACAUUGCAGCACCCUGAUGAAAAGAAUCAGAGUAGACUUAAAUACAUGCACUGUCGUUGGUCCACAGAUCAGAAAAUGCAGUGUAAUUAGAUUUCAGUUCUCCCAAAAUUGAUCCUCAGAUUUAAACCAAAAUUCUUUCUUUUUAAAAAAUUGUGGAA